rnacentral:rRNA from 1 species
AUUGAACGCUGGCGGCAGGCCUAACACAUGCAAGUCGAACGAGUGGCGGACGGGUGAGUAAUGUCUGGGAAACUGCCUGAUGGAGGGGGUUAACUACUGGAAACGGUAGCUAAUACCGCAUACCAUCAGAUGUGCCCAGAUGGGAUUAGCUUGUUGGUGGGGUAACGGUUCACCAAGGCGACGAUCCCUAGCUGGUCUGAGAGGAUGACCGGCCACCCGGGAACUGAGACACGGUCAAGACUCCUACGGGAGGCAGCAGUGGGGAAUGUGGUACAGUAGGGGCAAGCAUGAUGCAGCGAUGCGGCGUGUAUGAAGAAGGCCUUGGGGUUGUAAAGUACUUUCAGCGGGGAGGCGUUACCCGCAGAAGAAGCACCGGCUAACUCCGUGCCAGCAGCCGCGGUAAUAC